GUGGGCAACCGAAAUGAAGCUAAAUUUACAGAAGCUGAAGCCUGAGAGGCGACCCAAACCCUAGCACCGCCCGCCACUCCGGCGCCGGCGCCCACCUUCCUGGACGCCCCUCCGCUCUGGCUGGCGGUCGGUCUCACCCCCCUCUCUUCCUCCAUGGCGCCUCCCUCCCCGGCGUUUCUUUCCUCUAGCCCCCCCAGCCGCGUAGAUCUGAGCCCUUCCUCCUCCGAUGAGGGGGGCUCGGCUUGUUCCUUCUGCGAGGUGGUUCGCGACGGCGCCCCUGCCUCCCGUGCUCUGGAGGUGGCUGGUGGCUCGCGUCUCUUUGGCGCGACCAGUGGUUCCAGCAAGGCGCCGCCGGUGGUGGGUUCCCUCCCCUCGCGACUUGCUUCUAUGGUGGUUCGCCCGAAUGCUCCGGCGAGGAUUCCGGUCGCGGAGCGUCUGGAGCCGGUGGUGAGGACUGAGGAGGAGUGGCAUGUGACGGGCAAGAAGCGCCCUCGUCAGCGCCGCAAGGUGAAUCCGGUCCUUCCCUCCCGUGCGGUGCCCAAGGAGAUGGCUCCGCUGAUGGCCGACAGGUGCUUCAAUUGCCUCGGGGAGGACCAUGUCGCUGCCCUCUGCCCCAACGAGACGCGUUGCCCUUUUGCAAAAUAGCUCAUGAUCUACAGAACAACAAUGGAGUUGUGUGAGCAGAGGUGGCAUAUCAGUCAGACAUAAGGAUAUCAGAGGCCAAUAUACGAUAUCAAACCACUACAAAAUGUGUAUGAGAUGAAGCAUUCAGGAUAGUUUGCUCUUGCCUCAAAGAAAUAUCGCCGGGGAGAAGCUGAUGCCACAUCCAUUGCCAACGCAACAAAGGUCUUUAGCUUGAUGGGAUCCAUCGAACUGUUCAUAGGCGAACCUUUGGAAACUUUGUCCCCACCCUUUGCUCGAAUCUGGGCAGAGAAAAUAUUGUUUCCUCUUUGGUUAGCUAGAUAACUGCAACAAGUUGACUAGUUGAAAAGAUAUAUAGAAAGGCACAACUAAAUCUAGAUGUAACCCUUUUAAUGGAUAAACUCAAGAACCAUGCAUUGAGAAAGACAAUGGUGUAUUCUCUAAACCAUGAUAAACUGGUAGCUAUAAAGCAAAUAAUCCUGCUGAAGGCAGUUAUAUUUGAUUUUCCAACAAUGGGCACAUAGCUACCAAUGUGUGCCGCAAAAGUGUUGAGCUGCCUCUGUAGCAGAGAAACAGCACGCACACACAGUGUUGAGCUGCCUCUGUAGCAGAGAGAGAGAGAAGCUAAAUCCACAAGGCAACAAAACAGAUCCACAUACCAUUAUAUAACAUUCUGGAUCCAAGUUACAACGUUUAAUGAAAGCAUCGACAGCUGAUGGAUUCUGGCUUGGUAGAAUUUCUAGGGCAUCACCAACUUGAUAACUGAUGGGCUAAAAUCACAAAAAUGAAACAACCUUUUAGUCUCUUCCAUGUGUUCAGAAGAUGAUUGCAAGCGAAUGUGAUCUUAUGGAUCAUAGAACAUACAGAACAUAGAUCUUCCAGUUCAAAAUGCCGGACAUCUCUGUCAGAAUCUCCCUUAGUCAAACGUUGAUUUGUUACCUAAAAUGGUUAGCAAUAUCAUCAACAACAAAAAUAAGUAAAUAACAAUGAAUAAAAUAAAUUAUAAUGCAAUUAUUACAUCAUUAUUAUAUUUUAUAGUCACAAUACAGAUGAAGCUCCCCAUAAUGAACCAUGACUAAUUUACUAUCCCUGGUCGGAGUUUGUUACACCACAGCCCAGCUAUUAUUUGUUUAGGGAAAUCCCAGCAAUGAUGUAGAGAUUCCUCAAUGGUACACUUUCUUUGAGAAUGUUAAACAUCUGUCCAUGCCAAUUGAACUUCGGAGCAAAAGAACAUGACAAUCACAACAACAAAAGAAAAUUUAAGUUGAGCUCGAUCAUGCAUAGUUAGGGGUAGAAUGGACUGCUUAGUUGUCUACAGAACAAGCAAAUGUGCAUCAAUUAGUGCUGCGUAGGCUAGCUUUGCAUUCAAAGCUUGCAUAUAUUGUUUGCCUGUUCAAAGGAAAAAUGGCAAAAUAAGCCAAAUCCAGCAUAAGGUGCCGCACGCGAUCGCGCCUCACCAGUCAACAUAAAAUCUACUAUGCAGGGGGCUUGUGCAUAAUACUACUGUACAGCAAGAUCGUACAAAAAUAGCACACUAAAGUAUAGCCUAGAGAUUAGGAAAUCUACUUCUAUACAAAUAAGUUCAAGCCCUUUCAACCACUAAAGAAUUCGGGGUGAGUACAGUAAAUAAAAAGUUUCUGACGAGCAAAUAAUUCGGCCGCCUAAUACACAAGAUAGAGCAAUAUCUUAUAUGUGAAUGCAUAAGAUUUCCUAAAGAUGAAUGUAAUAUCCACAUAUACAAUUGCUGGAUCAGCUAAAGAUUCAUAAGAGUAAAAUAAUUACUGAUUCAACUGUUAAGCUCUUACAGAGGGUACAGAACAUACCAUUUGUAACAUGUACUGUGGCUCUCCUUCGUUAUGGCACUUUAGAGCAGGGGACAUUGAGCGUGUUCUCUCAACUAAUAAUUUGGAGUCUGGGGAAGAAGACAUACAGAAUCUAUAAGAAAUAUUACAUGCACCUUAUAGAUUACUGGUAAACAAUAGCAAAUUGAGAUCUCCUACCUGAAAUGGUGAUAUCUUGUGUAGCCGAGUAAUAGAUGACUUCUACCUUUGCAUCCCCCAAAAUAUUCAAAUUAGGAUGAAUGGCAUCAGAUAUUCUUGGUAACAGUGAUGGAUUUGUUUGAUUCAGGUAUUUCCACAAAGACAGCAACCACGGAUCUAGCGCUCCUUUGUAUCUGGUAUACAAUAACAGAACAAUUCCUUGGUAACUUUGAGGAAUUGCUUUAGAACGCCCCACAAAAGGUGCUGUUGGGAAAAAACAUGUCAUUUGAUUUCUCCAAAGCUCACAUAUGAAUAUAAAAACAACAGCAAAUAAAAAGAGGAUGAUAUUAAAAGCAUACCCUGAAGGAUGUUGAUCAUCCCCCAAGCCUUUUUCUAUGAUUCGUUCUGCACCAAGACCUAAAAGCCUUUGAUCAAGCUUCUUUGCAGGAAACUGCAGUGCAAACACGGCUGUGAAGAGGAAAACAGAAACAAGAAGCAUGCACGAUUUUAAAAACCAUAACGGUCAUGAUUUAUGAGUAACAGAGGACAAUCUACUAGCUGAGAGUAAUGAGAAAUCGGCAUUGUUGAUGAUGCAGCCAAAAAUGUACAGUACGUUUAGAACAUACAGAAAAAGUGACCUCCUUAUUGUGUAAAACUGAAAGUGCCAGCAUGAACUUGUUAUUUUAAUGAUGUUUCCAGCUAAGCAUUUGAAUAUGU